ACACUUUAUGUGUCAACUGGACGUGAAAUAAUGGGUGAUUAAGUAUUGUCCGAGGAGUGUGUUAUGGACGAAGAAACCAUCAGACGGGCCGUGGAUGUAGCCCUGAAGACUCUGUGCGAAAUCGAGGCUGUUGAAGCAUGCAGGUGGUUGAAAGAGGCUGGAUUUCCUCAGUAUGCGCAGAUGUAUGAUGAUUGCCAGUUUCCUAUUGACAUCACUAGUGUAGAAAAAGACCAUGAUUUCUUGGACAGGGAUUCCAUGCAGCCAUUGGUCAGGUAAGGCGACUCAGCACCCUUAAUAAAUGUGCUGUCAUGAGAAUCGGAACCCCAGCCAAAAAACUGGGAGAUGAAUCUGAUGAUGAAGAUCAAUGCGCUCUGAGCGACAAAUGGAAAUAUCAACACAACAUCCGGCGGUGGUCUCGUAAGGACCUAGGCAGCCCUUCCUCAGACGGACAGCCCUUGUCGCCGACAGUCAAAUCGAGCUCAAGCAACGACAGUCUGCUGACCGAUCAGAAUUCUAGCAGUGAAACAGGAGAUAGCCCUGUGCUAGACUCAAAGAUGCAUCACGAAAAAGGCGUGGCUAGUGACGAUUACUUCGGAGCCAAAACCUCCAUUCCUCAGGAUCAUCUAAAUCCUUCCACCAUAGCCCUGAGUCCUAGACUCCGCAGGGCUGCCAGUGAAAGGAUCAAAGGAGCAAAGAACUUUUUGAAGAGACUGGAGAGUUUUAAAAGCCAGAAAACGCGAAGGAUUCCGAGAAAUAAUGGCAAUGUGGAAAUCAGUGGACCUGUGAUAAUGGACACAGACGGAAUGCAAGCAAAGAUUAAGCAUUUGAACUGUAAGGAGUUAAGUCCUUCAAGUGAGUAUCCUCCAUCGCUGCCAACAGCAGAAGUGGCGGAAGACAACAAAAGUGUUCCAACAGCAGAACCGUGGUCAGACAGUGCUACAAAUUAUGCCAGUGAACCGAGUGUUCCUCAGAAGUCAUUGGUCUCUGUUCAGGAGAUCACCGAUUCCAAUAGUGCUCUGAACUCUGCCUUGAAGGCUCUGGAGGAGACAAGUCAGUCCUCCCUCUCCUCCUCAAUUCAUUCCUCAGUGAAAGCCCCCUCCAACUCCCCACUCUCAGGUCACACACAUCUCAGAAAACCCAAUCUAGCGUGGAAAAAUACUAGUAACUCUGAACUCUUUCCUGCCGACAAUUCUCCGUCAGUAUCUUUCAAGCUUCCGGAUGACCACAAGCCGGGCACAUUUCCCAAAGUGUUGUCCACUGGGUACAUGGAAGUGGAGGGAGGUCAUGGAGUUAACGCCAGGACCGGCAGUUUUAGUUUGGGUAGUGAUAGGAAGGAUGAUGCAGCCAUUAGCGCUGCCUCGGUCAAAAGGCGCGGAUCUGCGGGUCCAAGGCUGGAUUCCAACAGAAUGAGUGUGUAUGACAAUGUGGAGCCAGAGGAGGACUUGGAAAGUGCCCAACACGAACUGGACAUGAUUCUCAGCAAAGUGUUUGAGGACAUUAAUGUGCUCAACAAAGCCAUCUAUGGAGAAGAUGCAGAAAUAGUCGAGCCCCCUUCCUCUUCUCUCAAUUCAACAGUAAACAAGUCUGACGACGAUGAAAGCCAUCUGUCCGAUCUGAAGAACCUGAGUGCUCUUGAGACCGACGACAGUCUCAACGGGAAUGAUGACCAGGAUGUCACGAGUCGAACCAACUCAUCGCCCGAUACCAGCGACCACGACAUCACCACGGGCGAACUGUCACAUGACGACUCCACGGAGAACAUCGAGGGGCGGGAGAGACGAGACUCCGGUGUUGGAUCCUCCCUCACUCGUGCUCCCAGUGACAGACGGCGACAGAGAAUCCGCUGGCAUAGCUUCCAGAAAUCUCAUAGGCCCAGUGUGAGUGGACGUAAUACUCACAUCAGUAGUCUGUCUGUGUGUCAACUCAUGGUGCUACAAAAACUCUCCCUGUGCCGCUUGACUGGCCUCAUAGAAAAAUACUCACCCAACCGCUCCGGAUGGAACUGGAGCAUGCCCGGAUUCAUGAAGCGCCACAAGACUCCAAACUACAAUGACCGCAAUGUGUUUGGUGUCCCCCUCCUGGUCACCUUACAGAGGACUGGACAGCCCCUGCCCCAGUGCAUGCUGAGUGCCAUGCGAUAUCUCAGGAAAACGGCCAAAGAUGCUGUAGGAAUAUUUAGGAAGUCUGGAGUAAGGACCAGAAUCCAGAAACUGAAGAAUGAAGUAGAGGCUAAUCCAGAGUUAGUGAACUUCCAAGAACUUCAGGCUUAUGAUGUGGCAGAUUUGUUGAAGCAAUACUUUCGUGAACUACCAGAGUGCUUGUUGACAAACAAGCUCUCAGAAGUCUUCAUCAAUAUCUUCAUCUACUUGCCCAGUGAGCAGCGUCUGGAGGCCCUACAGUCCGCGGUGGUCCUCCUCCCAGACGAGAACCGCGAAGUGCUCCAGUCCCUCCUCUUCUUCCUCUACGAUAUUUCGACGCAGGCGGACGAUCACCAGAUGACCGCCAGUAAUCUGGCCGUCUGCUUCGCCCCUUCGCUGUUCAACAUGAGUGGGACGAAGAGCGUGACUCAGAGCCCGAGUCCACGAAGGCCGAGGAAGAACCUGGGUGUACCGGACGCCCGAGAACUUCAGGAACAGAAGGCUGCUCAUGAGUGCCUGACUACUUUGGUUCAGGAAUGCAAGAAACUCUUUAAUAUUCCUACAACAAUGAUGAGCAAGUGUAGAUUUUCCUACAUUGAGCAAGGAGACCCCGUUCCGUUGGAGGAAUUCAACAGGCGAUCCUCGGAAGACGACCAGCUGGCGUACCACAACUUUGUGGACACUGCCAUCCAGGGACUUUUGAAGGAGUCCAGAGACAAGUUCAAGGGAUGGGUCUCGGUCAGCUCUGUCCCCACGGACGUUGAUCUGUCCUACAAGAAGGUGACGGACGGCCAUCUACUGCGAUUGUGGAGGUGCUCUACGGAAGUGGAUGGUCCACCCUUUGCAGCAUUAGAAUGUGUCAAAGAUGAGAGGCAUGUCUGGGAUGAGGAUCUGGUUAAGUGGAGGUCCAUAGAGAAACUGGAUUCUCAGACAGAGGUGUUUCAGUACACUCAGAGCUCCAUGGCUCCCCAUCCUGCAAGGGACUUCUGUGUUCUCAGAUCCUGGAGAAAGGACCUUCCCAAAGGCACAUGUGCUCUGGUGUCCACCUCAAUCGAGCACCCUGAGGCUGAGCUGAACGGGGCCAUACAAGGGGUGGUUCUGGCCUCUCACUACCUUAUUGAACCCUGUGGAUCGGGGAAAUCUAGGGUCACUCACAUCAGUCGCAUUGACAUGAGGGGAAGAACACCUGAGUGGUACAAGAAAGUUUACAGUUACAACUGCGUAAACCAGAUGGAGAGAAUCCGUGACUCGCUGAAACAGAGCACUGAUGGGCCAGAGUCUGUAGUGUGAACCUGUGUAGUACUACUACUGAUGACGACAACUCUUCCAUCAAAGUGAAGAAAACUGGUAUCGUUGGGGAGGUAGCAGAGGGAAGCUCUUCAGUAUUGGUGCACGUGUACCUAACUCCACUGGUUUCACAGAAAGCUGUACCUGCGCCAACGUCUGCAAACCAUUUGUCUACGUUAGAACUGCUGUUCUGCAGACAUUGAAUCCUCACAGGCUGCUCUGUGACAGAGGGGAUAGAGAGAGACUGGGUGUAGUUCAAUAGUUAGUCUACAACUGACAGAUGUGGCAAGUCCUGUGUCUACACAGCUUACUACAUGACAAUCUAGUGCUGUAUCAUAGAACAUUCCGUAGAAGAAAUAUAGAGGAGGGCAAAAUGUGUUCAUUUUUAGCAUUACUGUUGAAUUGUGUUGAAGGGGACCUAUAGUUCAGUGUAGAGUAGCGGACAAACAAGAUGGUGGGUAGUCCCCACUGUUGCCAUAGUGAAGGCAGCAUUAUGUCUGUUGGUAACCAUAGGAACCAUGCUAGUCAUGUGACCUGAUAUUAUUCCCUGGGAGUAGAGAACCUGCAAUAUUACAAAAUGCAUUUAUUAAUAUUUGUUGUCCUGUGCCAUGUUCUUAUUUCAUUAUGUGUUAUCUGUUGUAAAUAAACUGUAUGUCCACUCUC
rnacentral:misc_RNA from 1 species